ACAAAAAGUACUAUCAAUUAAAUAAAAUGGUAGAAACAAAAGAAUAGCGAAGAAGAAGCAAAUGCGCUUCACGCUAAUUCCAAGUACCAACACAAAACAAAUUCAAUGUUUGGUGAAGCAACUUGCUUAGUGGCGGACGGGUGAGUAACGCGUGAACAAUCUGCCCCGUACAAAGGGAUAGCCUCGGGAAACCGGGAUUAAAACCAUAUAACACUUAACUGCCGCAUGGUAGUGAAGUCAAAUCGAUUAAGAGGUAUGGGAUGAGUUCGCGUCUGAUUAGCUAGUUGGUGAGGUAAGGGCUCACCAAGGCGACGAUCAGUAGCCGGCCUGAGAGGGUGAACGGCCACACUGGAACUGAGACACGGUCCAGACUCCUACGGGAGGCAGCAGUGGGGAAUAUUGCACAAUGGAGGGAACUCUGAUGCAGCGACGCCGCGUGAGUGAAGAAGGUCUUCGGAUCGUAAAACUCUGUCCUUGGUGAAGAAAAGGACGGUAGCCAAGGAGGAAGCCCCGGCUAACUACGUG
rnacentral:rRNA from 1 species